ACUGAUGUAAUUAAGCAGAAUUGUUCCCUUGCCUCCCCUGCAGCGCUUCAGUCCCGCAAAGUUUCUUCAAAGAAACCCCCAGCCUGGAACUGGUGCGGCUCUGCAGAGGGAAACGCCGCACUGUACUUCAAAGCGGAGAAAAUCUGCAGCUGCCGGGAGCCCGCCUGCCCCAGGAGGUGUCACUGUUGGGACUGGCAGGGUGAGCUCCGGAGCUGCUGUUUGUUUUCCAAAGCCUACAUUGACCGUGAGGUAUGUAGUUCAGCCAUGCCAAAGUCUCCACAAUUUGUAGUGAGCUACAAGACCAGUCCUGGUGAAGAAGCUAGGAGAUCUUGCUCAUCUUCUUGCGCUGGCCCCACUUGCUGUGGAGGAGGUAUUGCCUCAGUUUCCCCAUCUAGGAAUUCUAGCAUUUAUGAAACAUUCAUGACACUUUAUUGGACCCCUGUGCAAAGGGCAAUUUGAUGAUGUGAAAUGCUUUCUUACUGUGGAGGAAGCUUAAAUGGAAGAAUCAGCGAGUGAUGUUAAUGCCCAGUAAUUUUUAUGUGUAAAUUUAAUUUUUAUGUUUCCUUCCUCUGCCUCUGCAGUGGUAAUUCUAUGCAAG
rnacentral:lncRNA from 1 species